rnacentral:rRNA from 1 species
AAUCAACGCUGGCGGCGUGCCUAACACAUGCAAGUCGAACGCGAAAGGGGCGUUCGGUCCUGAGUAGAGUGGCGUCCGGGUGAGUAACGCGUGGGUAAUCUACCCUUCGGGUGGGGAAGUAACCAGUCGAAAGAUUGGCUAAUACCGCAUAAUGCAGCGGCUCGACAUCGAGACAGUUGUUAAAGCAGCAAUGCGCCAGAGGAGGAGCCUG